rfam:Legionella massiliensis genome assembly, contig: CONTIG000001
AGGGCUGGACGUUCAGUUGGGAACCGUGUCAAGGAACUCUGUCAUUCGGCAGAGCGUGUCGAAAGACUCUAAGUCA